rnacentral:RNase_P_RNA from 1 species
GAAGUUCGCUAGGCAGUCGCUGGAUGUCGUCGCAAGACGAUGUCUGGAGGAAAGUCCGGGCCCCGCGUAGCAAGAUGCCGGUUAACGGCCGGGCGCUGUGAAGCGACAGAUAGUGCAACAGAAAGAUACCGCCAAUGGCUGUGCCGACUUUGACGCCGCAAGGCGACAAAGUCUCUCUUAAGUGAGCGAGGUGCAGAUCAGGUAAGGGUGAAAUGGUGGCGCACUGCAAGGUGCGUCAAUAUCGCGAAAGCGGUAUUGGGGUAAGAGCCCACCGCGUUUUUGGUAACAAAAACGGCAUGGCAAACCUCAUCUGGGGCAAGGCCAAAUAGGGGAGCGUUUUGCGUGGCUCGCGUAGCUCCCGGGUAGGCUGCUAGAGGUCGUUGGUAACAACGAUCCCAGAGGAAUGACUGCUCACGACAGAACCCGGCUUAUCGGCGAACUUCCCAC